GAUGAACGCUAGCGGCAGGCUUAAUACAUGCAAGUCGAGGGGCAGCACGGUUAGCAAUAACUGGUGGCGACCGGCGCACGGGUGCGUAACACGUAUGCAAUCUACCUUAAACAGGGGGAUAGCCUUUCGAAAGAGAGAUUAAUACCCCGUAAUAAAUUGAACGGCAUCGUUUGAUUUUGAAAGCUCCGGCGGUUUGAGAUGAGUAUGCGUCUGAUUAGCUAGUUGGUGAGGUAACGGCUCACCAAGGCGACGAUCAGUAGGGGAUCUGAGAGGACUAACCCCCACACUGGUACUGAGACACGGACCAGACUCCUACGGGAGGCAGCAGUAAGGAAUAUUGGUCAAUGGAGGCAACUCUGAACCAGCCAUGCCGCGUGCAGGAUGACGGCCCUAUGGGUUGUAAACUGCUUUUAUACAAGAGAAAACCCUGGUACGUGUACCAGGUUGAUAGUAUUGUAAGAAUAAGCAUCGGCUAACUUGUGCCAGCAGCCGCGGUAAU
rnacentral:rRNA from 1 species